rnacentral:rRNA from 1 species
GGGUCAGUAGGUUGGUCGUGCCACCGGUACGUACUGGUCUCACUGAUUCCUCCUUCCUGAAGAACCGUAAUGCCAUUAAUUUGGUGUUGCGGGGAAACAGGACUGUUACUUUGAAAAAAUUAGAGUAUUUAAAGCAAGCUAACGCUUGAAUACAUUAGCAUGGAGUAAUGAAAUAGGACGAUCGAUCCUAUUUUGUUGGUUUCUAGGAUUGACGUA